ensembl:snRNA LOC120094043 U4 spliceosomal RNA
AGCUUUGUGCAGUGGCAAUAUCGUAGCCAAUGAGGUUUAUCCAAGGCACGAUUAUUGCUAAUAGAGUGCUCUGGUAAAAAAUAAAAUAAAAU